UCCAACCAGUGCCACCUCCAGUCUGUCACCACUGGCCUUGCUUGGCCACCAGUGUGGAUCAGCAGCAGCUUCUUGGGUACCAGUCUUUCUGAGAUACAGCCUACCCACUCUAUCCCCCUGCCUGGGCCUUUCAUGGCUCCCCAUUGCCCUCGGGGUGACGUCCUACACCACUAUCGUGGCCUGUGGGACCCAGGCCAGCCCCUGUGACUCCUCUGGGCUCCAGGUUCAUCUGCCAAAGGUGGGAGAUCCACCAAGUCCAUGUUGUCCUGGCUGCAGCUGCUGGACCAUCUUGGCCAAAGGCCCAGAAAAGUCCUGAGUCCUCAGGUCCCUGCUCGCCGCCCCCUCGACUCCACUUGGACUCCCACAUGGUCUUCUCCUGGCGGGCCAGGGAGCGAGUCCGCAUUCUCCACACCAUGUCCAGUACCCGAUCGGCCCCCAGGAGAGAGAAAACAUUGUUACAGCUACCAGAAUAUUCUCGCCCCCCACCGGAGACCCUCCCUCCCCACAUUUGACCGUUCCCGUUCGGUAUUUGUGCCUUAAACCCAAGCCAACUGCUUGGCCUCUUUUCUGCCUACAAAACAUUUUCACUCAUUUUAUAGCCACAAAAAUUUCCUUCCUGUCCUCAUAUUCACAGGAAAGAGAGAGCCCUGGCCCUGACUCAGAACUGGAUUCUAGCUGGAGGCAUCUGCUGCGCGGCUCCAGGGAAGGGGUUUAUCUGUUUGUUCCUUGACCUCCAGCUGGAGCCGAGGCAGCCGGAAAGUCAGGAGGCAGGCCUUGGGAGGGAAGAGGGGUCUCGCGGAGCUGAGGCCCAGGACCCCGUGCCCUGCCCUGAGGGACCAGCCAGGUGACGGGAGGGCGCCGUGGGGGAGCCCUCCGUGAGCCCGAGGUGCCUGCCUGGCCGCGGCCUGGGUGCCCCUGGAAAUGACAGAGACCAGGUUUCCACCGUGUAGGCAGAAGCUGACUGUGGCUGUCACAGACCCCGUGCUCCGUGGAGGGAAUCAGUCCCUUGUCCACAGCUGUCAUCCUCACCAAGGACUGUGGCACCGUGAGGGAAACAGACAGAUAAGGAAAGGAGGCCCCUCUCAGGAAGGCCUCUUCCUCCCUCCAGUCCAGGGGACCCCACUGCUUCAGUGUCCUCACAGCGAGACCUGCAGAGCGGCUGUCUGCCUCCACCAGCGUGGUUUCCUUCCUGUCACAAAAGGGAUUCUUGCUCACUGGAGGCACUGUGGAAGACAGAGGUGGCCGGCUGGCACGCCGCCUGUGAUCUCAGCGGCUCGGGAGGCUGAGGCAGGAGGAUCGUGAGUUCAAAGCCAGCAUCGGCAAUUUAGCGAGGCCCUAAGCAACCCAGGGAGGCCCUGUAUGCAAUAAAAUACAAAAAGGGCCGGGGAUGUGGCUCGGUGGUUGAGCACCCUGGGUUCAAUCCUCAGUACAAAAAGAAAAAGGGAAAAGAAAAGAAAACUCCAGAUGAUCUUGAGGAAGAAAACAAAACCACUCUUCACCCUCCCUCUCCCAAAGAUGGCCACCUUGAUAUUUGCAGGUCCCCUGUCUGUCCCUUCUUCCGGAGCUAUGUCCAGCUUGGGACCUAAAGUACGGUGGACAUACAAGGGUGAGUCUAUGUUGGAUCCUUUACCUGUUUAUUCACGAUUGGUGAAUUCCAAAGGAGCCCCCUGGGUGCUCAGGAGGCCACGGUUCUUGGUGUUUUAAAUUCUUUGGGGCUGAAAAGAGAUGAAUGGAACCAGAAGUUCAUUCCAGAGUAACCCAAGUAAGAGCCAAGGGCCCACGGCUCCGUCUCUGUUCCCAGUGACUUAAUCCUUCCGUCAAAAGUAAUUUGAAUGAAUUUUUGAAUUCACUUGUGGCUCCAAAAGACCCUCAUUUUUUAUUUCUCGGGGCUGAGAACUGAGCUCAGGGCGUCUGAGUGCUAGACAAGGACCCUCAAAGGCGCCCGAUUCCUGACCCCUGGCAGCAACUCUCACCAGCCACUUCCUGCUCCCUCCACAGAAGGUCUGAUGUUCUGCACUGUCCCGUCCUCCUGAGGAGUCCUGGUCACCCCGUCCUCUCCCAGCUGCCUCAGAUGCUUACGGUAUCAUUAUUCAGUACCUGCACGGUGGCGCAUGCCUGCCGUCCCAGCACCCCAGGAGGCUGAGGCAGGGGGAUCACAAGUUCAAGGUUGGCCUCAGCAACUUAGUGAGACCCUGUCUCAGAUUAAAAUAGAAAGGGCUGGGGGUGUGGGUCAGUGGUGGAGUGUUUGCAUAGCAUGUGUGAGGCCCUGGGUUCCGUCCCCAGCACCUCAAAAAAGGCAAAAGCUCAGAGAUCAAAUCCUCCCCUGUCUUCCCCAGGAGCAGGGAGUGGCCCAGAGCCAGGCUCUGCAGCUGCAUAGACUGUCUAGGUCCCUGUCCCCACCUCUCCCAACAGCAGUGUGGCCCUUGGUGAGUCCUUUGCCCUUGUUCGAAGAGUGGUUCGAGGGCUGGUGCUGGUGCCCUUGCUCUCUGUUGACAGGACGAGACAGAUAAGGAAACGGACACUGCACUUAGAAACGGUCAGAG
rnacentral:lncRNA from 1 species